CGCGAAUCGCCCUUGGGGGUGCACCAGGCUUCGAAUACUUUACACUGCUUGAAACCGUGAUUAGGGGACGCCGAGUGCCAGCACCUUAGUGAUGGCUGUCCAGCUGUCCAAAUAACAGUUGAUACCAAGGGCCGGAGCAAUACCGGUGCCAACCGCCGCGGUAACACCGGCGGCCCGAGUGGUAACCUUUAUUAUUGGGUUUAAAGGGUCCGUAGCCGGCCUAUUAAUUCUCUUGGGAAAUCUGGCGACUCAAUCGUCAUUCCUCCCAUACAUACUGGUAAGCUUGGAACCGGGAGAGGUGGGAGGUACUCCAGGGGUAGGGGUGAAAUCUCGUAAUCCUUGGGGGACCACCGAUGACAAAUGCCUCCCACCAUAACGAGUCUUACGACCAGGGACUAAAGCUGGGGGCUCGAACCGGAUUAGAUACCCGGGUAGUCGCAACUGUAAUCGAUGCUCCCUAGGUGUCAAGUGCUUUGCAACCGUCUCUAGUGCCGCAUUGAAAACUUGAAACUAGACAUCUGGUAAUUACGGUUGCCAGGAUUAAACUUAUUUGAAUUGUGGGGCGACCAC
rnacentral:rRNA from 1 species